UACAGAGGUCUCAAGCGUUGUUCGGAUUCAUUGGGCGUAAAGGGUGUGUAGGCGGGCCCGUAAGUGUCUUGUGAAAUCCCACGGCUCAACCGUGGAACUGCUGGGCAUACUGCGGGUCUUGGGCCAACUAGGGGCAGCCGGAACAAGCGGUGGAGCGGUGAAAUGCGUAGAUAUCGCUUGGAACGCCGAAGGUGAAAACAGGCUGCUGGGGUUGCGCCGACGCUGAGACACGAAAGCCAGGGGAGCAAACGGG
rnacentral:rRNA from 1 species